rnacentral:rRNA from 1 species
UACAGAGGUCUCAAGCGUUGUUCGGAUUCAUUGGGCGUAAAGGGUGCGUAGGCGGCGCGGUAAGUCGGGUGUGAAAUCUCGGAGCUUAACUCCGAAACUGCAUUCGAUACUGCCGUGCUUGAGGACUGGAGAGGAGACUGGAAUUUACGGUGUAGCGGUGAAAUGCGUAGAUAUCGUAAGGAAGACCAGUGGCGAAGGCGGGUCUCUGGACAGUUCCUGACGCUGAGGCACGACGGCCAGGGGAGCAAACGGG